rnacentral:misc_RNA from 1 species
GAUGAAGAACGCAGCGAAAUGCGAUAAGUAAUGUGAAUUGCAGAACUCAGUGAAUCAUCGAAUCUUUGAACGCACAUUGCGCCCGCCAGUAUUCUGGCGGGCAUGCCUGUUCGAGCGUCAUUACAACCCUCAGGCCCCCGGGCCUGGCGUUGGGGAUCGGCGGAGCCCCCCGUGGGCACACGCCGUCCCCCAAAUACAGUGGCGGUCCCGCCGCAGCUUCCAUCGCGUAGUAGCUAACACCUCGCGACUGGAGAGCGGCGCGGCCACGCCGUAAAACACCCAACUCUUCUGAAGUUGACCUCGAAUCAGGUAGGAAUACCCGCUGAACUUAAGCAUAUCAAUAAGCGGAGGA